rnacentral:rRNA from 1 species
UAACACGUGGGUAACCUGCCUGUAAGACUGGGAUAACUCCGGGAAACCGGAGCUAAUACCGGAUAGUUCCUUGAACCGCAUGGUUCAAGGAUGAAAGACGGUUUCGGCUGUCACUUACAGAUGGACCCGCGGCGCAUUAGCUAGUUGGUGGGGUAAUGGCUCACCAAGGCGACGAUGCGUAGCCGACCUGAGAGGGUGAUCGGCCACACUGGGACUGAGACACGGCCCAGACUCCUACGGGAGGCAGCAGUAGGGAAUCUUCCGCAAUGGACGAAAGUCUGACGGAGCAACGCCGCGUGAGUGAUGAAGGUUUUCGGAUCGUAAAGCUCUGUUGUUAGGGAAGAACAAGUGCGAGAGUAACUGCUCGCACCUUGACGGUACCUAACCA